rnacentral:misc_RNA from 1 species
GCUUGAGGGCUGCUGCAGGGUUGCCAACUGAAGAAGAUAUAUUUUCUAUUUCACCUUAUUCAGAUGAUGAGGAAAAUGGUCCAUUGACGCUAAAGAAUGAAUUUAGACGUUCUCUGAAGCUCUCUCUCAAAGGGUUAGUUGAUAAGUCACCAAAAAAGAGCAAGGAACAUGGAAAGAAAUCUUCAAGUAAGAAAACUACCGAG